GGUCCCAUGGUGUAGCGGUUAGCACCUCGGACUCUGAAUCUUGAGACCCGAGUAAGAAUCUCGGUGGGACCU
rnacentral:tRNA from 1 species